rnacentral:rRNA from 1 species
GACGGGACCCCGCACAAGCGGUGGAUCAUGUUGUUUAAUUCGAUGAUACGCGAAGAACCUUUACCAGGUCUUGACAUCCCUUGCAAAGCUAUAGAGAUAUAGUGGAGGUUAUCAAGGAGACAGGUGGUGCAUGGUUGUCGCCAGCUCGUGUCGUGAGAUGUUGGGUUAAGUCCCGCAACGAGCGCAACCCUUAUUGCUAGUUACCAUCAUUAAGUUGGGGACUCUAGCGAGACUGCCAGUGAUAAACUGGAGGAAGUGGGGAUGACGUCAAAUCAUCAUGCCCCUUAUGACCUGGGCUACAAACGUGAUACAAUGGCUGAAACAAAGGGCAGCGAAGCAGUGAUGUGGAGCGAAACCCAAAAAAGCAGUCUCAGUUCGGAUUGAAGUCUGCAACUCGACUUCAUGAAGUCGGAAUCGCUAGUAAUCGCGGAUCAGAACGCCGCGGUGAAUACGUUCUCGGGGUUU